GGUACAGAGAUUGUUCUUUGUCUUCCCCAUGCCCAGCAACCGAUCGAAAGAACAUGGCCCUCUCGAUGGUGACAUGCGCUCCGCUCCUAGGCGGUUCGGAUGGCUGGUGCAGCCAUGCCGCGCUCGAGUUCGCCUGCCACAGUGAGUCUCUCAUGGAGAGUUGAGCUCUGCUUCAUCUCCAAAGAGGUCGUAUGCUCUGCUCCCUUUCCUUCCCUUUUAUUUUCCUCGCUUCUUUG
rnacentral:lncRNA from 1 species